UUGAAAAUAAAAUAAUGAAUUACUUCCUAUUAUGAUGAUUCAAAAUGUCAUGCCAGACUAGAGUUUAUGAGCUACAUUAAUGAUUUUUCAAUAUUAACUGACAAAAGUUAAGUCAUCUAACAAAUUAUUACUGUGUUAAUAAUCUUCCACUAAUGUUGAAACAUAUUUCCAGAUCCACUGAGUGAAUAUCCAUCAUGGACUGAUGAUAAAAAUUCAGGUGAUUUCAUUUAUCCUCAUCUUGGUGUGAGAACUUCAGUUGAGUUUAUGAUUCAGCUAAAAUCUACCAUUAUUUCGGGGUGAGAACUGCAUAUGAGUUUAUGAUUCAACUAAAAUAAUCUGCCAUUAGUUCGGGGUGAGAACUGCAGAUGAGUUUAUGAUUUAGUUGACUUAAUUUAUGGUCAUGUUGGUGUGAGAACUUCAGUUGGGUUUAUGAUUUAGUUGACUUAAUUUAUGGUCAUGUUGGUGUGAGAACUUCAGUUGGGUUUAUGAUUCAGCUAACAGUGUUAAACAUUAUUUUGGGUUGAGGACUGCAGAUGACUUAAUGAUUGAAAAGUGGACUCUAUGUUAUAAUUUCGAAAAAGAACUCCAGAUAAGUAGAUGAUGGGCAAGUUUUCUUUUGCAGAUUAUGGUGAUGGAAAUCGUUGAGAAGCUCACUAAGGUGGGCAAGUUUCCAUUUGAAGAUUGUGGUGAUGGAAACAUUAGAAACUCACUAAGAUUUCAGGUUAUGGAUACAACACUUUGCACACCAGGUGAAUAGCUUCAGCUUCAUUAAUAUUAAGGAGUUGUUUGAAAUUGUAAGUGUGUGGUAUGGAUAAAUGUUUGAGAUUUCAGAUCCUGUGUUCCUGAUAAUU